rnacentral:sRNA from 1 species
UUUUUGCGUGAGGGAUCGUAGUGAAAAUCCUUUUAUUAUGGAACUAUAGCGCAAUAAAAUGAUUGUAACGGAUAGCCCGAACAUGC